UAAUCGGGGCAGGGUAAGUCGACCCCUAAGGCGAGGCCGAAAGGCGUAGUCGAUGGGAAACGGGUUAAUAUUCCCGUACUUCUUACAAUUGCGAUGGGGGGACGGAGAAGGCUAGGUGGGCCUGGCGACGGUUGUCCAGGUUCAAGUGCGUAGGCUUAAGAGUUAGGUAAAUCCGGCUCUUUUUAAGGCUGAGACACGACGUCGAGCACCUACGGGUGUGAAGUCAUUGAUGCCAUGCUUCCAGGAAAAGCCUCUAAGCUUCAGAUUGUAAGGAAUCGUACCCCAAACCGACACAGGUGGUCGGGUAGAGAAUACCAAGGCGCUUGAGAGAACUCGGGUGAAGGAACUAGGCAAAAUGGUACCGUAACUUCGGGAGAAGGUACGCUCUCGACGGUGAAGUCCCUCGCGGAUGGAGCUAUUGAGAGUCGCAGAUACCAGGUGGCUGCAACUGUUUAUUAAAAACAC
rnacentral:rRNA from 1 species